rnacentral:rRNA from 1 species
AGAGUUUGAUUCUGGCUCAGGAUGAACGCUGGCGGCGUGCCUAACACAUGCAAGUCGAACGAAGCACUUAUGUUUGAUUCUUCGGAUGAAGAUAUAUGUGACUGAGUGGCGGACGGGUGAGUAACGCGUGGGUAACCUGCCUCAUACAGGGGGAUAACAGUUAGAAAUGGCUGCUAAUACCGCAUAAGCACACAGUGUUGCAUGACACAGUGUGAAAAACUCCGGUGGUAUGAGAUGGACCCGCGUCUGAUUAGCUAGUUGGUGGGGUAACGGCCUACCAAGGCGACGAUCAGUAGCCGACCUGAGAGGGUGACCGGCCACAUUGGGACUGAGACACGGCCCAA